UACGGGGGGGGCAAGCGUUGUUCGGAAUUACUGGGCGUAAAGGGCUCGUAGGCGGCCAACUAAGUCAGACGUGAAAUCCCUCGGCUUAACCGGGGAACUGCGUCUGAUACUGGAUGGCUUGAGUUUGGGAGAGGGAUGCGGAAUUCCAGGUGUAGCGGUGAAAUGCGUAGAUAUCUGGAGGAACACCGGUGGCGAAGGCGGCAUCCUGGACCGAUAUUGACGCUGAGGAGCGAAAGCCAGGGGAGCAAACGGG
rnacentral:rRNA from 1 species